CCCUUAGAUGUUCUGGGCCGCACGCGCGCUACACUGACGAUGGCAACGAGUUUUUCCUUCGCCGAAAGGUGUGGGUAAUCUUUUGAAACAUCGUCGUGCUGGGGAUAGAUCAUUGCAAUUUUUGAUCUUGAACGAGGAAUUCCCAGUAAGCGCGAGUCAUCAGCUCGCGUUGAUUACGUCCCUGCCCUUUGUACACACCGCCCGUCGCUACUACCGAUUGAAUGGUUUAGUGAGGACUCCUGAUUGGCGCCGCCGCCCCGGCAACGGAGCAGCGGACUGCCGAAAAGUUGUUCAAACUUGAUCAUUUAGAGGAAGUAAAAGUCGUAACA
rnacentral:rRNA from 1 species